rnacentral:lncRNA from 1 species
UUUUUUUUUUUUUUUAUAUAUAGUAGCCAUCCUAGUGGGUGUGAGUGCACACUUAUUUUUAAUGUAGAUAGUGGAUACCAUAUUACUGGAAAUUUUAUAGAAAAAAUAAAAAUAAACACUUUCUGGAAUGGAAAAAGGCAACUGCUUUAAAAUGGAUGAAAGUCAUUCUUCCUUAGAUUCAUAGGGAUAGAUUAUUGGCUAUGAAAUCUAUCUUUGUUGAGUUAAGGAAAGCUGUAUCACUUCUAUCUGAUUUCAAUUAUUCUGAUAGAGUACUAUAAUGGCAGCACUGGAGAAAGAGGGAAAGAUCUUCAGGGCAUAUAAGAAUGCAUCACCAAAAGACGCUGUUGCCUGAUACAGUAUCAAAAAUUUUCAGCCUGGUAUUUCUGGCAACUCCAAUGCAAAGCUCUGACCUCCUGGCAGGGCCUGUGCUGAAUUUGGUUAGAAUUAAUACAGGAGCACUUCACAUCUUAAAUCCAACUGUUUCUGGUAAUAAAUUAAUACUAUUUUUAUUGAAAAAUAAUUUUUAUGCCUUCUGAGACGUGAUAUUCUAAUUUUGAUGGGUUUCUCAGUUUAUCCCAAGAGUAAGUGAUUUCCUUCUUAUACAUAGUUUCAAACAAAUUGAAACUUUAACUACUAAGGAACUCCUGGACAUCAACUGGUUCAUACUUCUGGAGGAUAAUUUGACAAUAUGUCAAAAGCCUUACAAGAUACAUAAUCAUUUGUGAUACAUUAUUAUCUUAAUGAAAUUGCGCAAUGAAUUAACAAAAAUGGAGAUUCAAAGAUGUUCAAGGAUGCUCAAGAGUAGGGACUGGUUAAAAAAUGCAUCUGAACAUUAGAAUCUGUGCAGCCAUUAAACAUAGUUCUAUAGCUUUAGGUUUUAUUAACACUAUUUUAUGCUUUUUAUAUACUUUUAUGCAAGUUCUGUAACAUAUAUUUUAUGUACUUUUAGUAUAGUGUUAUUAAUAUCAAAAAGCAUUCAUAAUAUAUCAAGUGGUAAAAUCAAGGUAGAAAGCCAUAAUUGUAAGUACAAGGCAGAAAAAAACCAUGUGUGUAUGAGUGUGUAUUACACCAUAACUGAUACAUGUUAAAUAAAACUCAUUACAUGUUAAACUGAAUACAUACCUACAGAAUUACAAUUCUCUUCUGCAAUUACAGAAGAGAAUCAUGAAAUACACAAAUUUACUAAUUUUUCUGGAUUGAGGUUGAGAUGAAUUUCAUCUUCUUGUUUAUUAUCUCUACUUUUCAAUUUUCUAUAAAAAUUUACAUACUUGUGUCAUAUAAAAUAAUAAAAGGAGUGGAUAGAUGGCCAGAAUGCAUGCAAGCCAUUUCCCAGGUUGAUCCACACUGAUUUUAGCCUUGGUCUCUGAGAUUCAGGGCUGACCAACACUACUGAAGAUGGCAACCUCCCACCGCCAGAGGGAGCAACAAGCUGAGAGGCUGACAUCUGUGCAGGAUGGUCCUGAUGCUCAGAGAGUUUAACACCUUAACAGAGCCUUUUUCACUUUUGUUCCAGGAACUCCGUUGACUAGAGAAUUUAAUAGUGAAAGAGAAAAAAAUGUUGCCUUCUAUUUACAAUGCCCUGCUUUCACUCUGCCAAGAGCGGAAAGGUAAAACAGACUUAAUUGUGGUCAAGAAUUUAUUUUAAAAACAAUUAUUUGCUGGUUCUCAAUCCCACAAUAAUGCUGAAGAAUCUAAAAAGCAGUCCAUCAUCCUACAAAAGAGUUAUAGACAGAGAUCCCUCGUAUGGUAUAGCUCUCACCAACCUAGGAAAGCUCUAGUUUGAUCUGUGCCAUGAAAAAGAUGACACUGAUUAUCAUCUACCUACCCAGAAGAAUGAUUAAUUUAAGAUAAAUAGAUGCUGACUUCAGACAUACUGACUGCAUUUCCCAGAUACUAUUGCAGCAACACUCACUCACUUCAGAUGUUAUGAAGUAUUCGGAGGGAUCACGCUUUUCUACUCAUGUAACACAAAGCAUUCAAGAUGUAAUCUAGCUCUCUAUGUGGUAGAGUUGACUUUUAUUCCACCAUCACCUUGCCAACAGAAAUCUCUUCUUCCUUAACUUUACUUUUCAUAACAUAAACUUUUUGUUUUUUUCAUUGCCUACCUUAAUAUUUCAUUAAAUAAAAAUGGCUUAACUGUAAAAUAUAAUAGUGAAAUACAGUUAAUGGCUUAACUGUAAAAUAUAAUAGUGAAAUUUGUAUAAUAGUGAAAUUAUUAUGAAAUUAAGUAAAGAGAAACUAGCAAUCACAACCUGAUAAUUUUUUUAAAUGUUGCAGAGCCUGACUAUGCUUUAGCUUUCCCUGGAAAGAUUUUUAUUUUUUCUACAAAUUAGCUUUUCAAAAGUGCAGGUUAUAAGUGUAAAGCUGUCUUUAGUCAAAAAAAAAAAACUACAGAUUUUUAAUUUCUUAAUUCACAAAGAAAACAGUGAGUUGAGGGCAAAGAGGAUGUGCACCAAACCAGAGAUCUGCACUUGGAUUCCAAUAACAUUAUGACCAAGAAUUUCUCUCCUUUUAUGAGGCAUAGGGUUUGGAGGAUAACCUUAUGAAACAUGUAAGACUAGCCUGGCUCUCAAAUACAUCACUAGAAGUAAAUUUCUAACAACCAAAAAUGAGUUAUUGAACCCGUCACACCAUUGGCCUCCACCUCUGGAAAUUCAUUAAACAUUACUUCCCACAACCCUGUGAGCCUGGGCCAAAAUAGGUCUUUAAUCAAGAGCUAAAGCUUAAAGGUAUGCUUUCUUUUUACUGCUGCACUGUCUUAUUAAAAAGUUACACACACACAAAUGAAAUAGAUCUUGAAUAUGAAUAGCCAAGUACAAUAUUUUGUGAAAGAGAUUACAGAUUUUACCUAUUAGCAAUGGCUAGGCCAGGCUAUUUCUCUACCUUGUAAAAAGAUUCCCUAAAAUAUCCAGAUAUGAUAGUUAUCUUACAUUUUCUGCUCUUUAUUAUAAAAACAAAAUUAUCCUUUCUAUCAAACUAUAACCAAAAAAGUGUGGCCUCUCACACUUUUUUCUCAAAGUCAAACUGUCCUUAAUAAAAAAUUAUAAUCACAAACAAAUAUAAUUAUAGCAAGUACAAUCAAUACUCAAGUGGUUUGGAUAAAAAGUUGAUAAUUCUAAGGAGAAGGUGAUCCAAACGACCUUAAUUUUUUAACCUAAAGCUUAUUAUUUGAGUCUGAGAAGUUUGCCUUUAUAGUUAUGCUUUUAUUAAUUCUGUAUUAAUAGUUGAAUUUUUCUGAGUAUAUCACAACUAAACAGAAGUGGGUUAGCCCGUUGAAAAGUGAAAAGUUUUACAUUAAUAUAAAGUAUCCAAAUAGAAAUCAUAAUUAUUUCUACUAACUAGAUCAUUUAGUUAGAAGACCUUCUUACUUCAGCUAUAAUUGCAUCAAAUGUGAUACAUAGAACCUUUUGAGGCUAGAAGAGAGACAAAAUGAUCAUUUAUCCAUAUUUCAUUCAGCACACAAAGUCCCAGAGUCCAAGAUAGCUUUCCCCAGGAACUCUCCUAGAAUAGGUAUUCAUAUCAGAAAGGUUUUUCCAUGAGGUCGAUGGUGGUAGAUAUGUAGCUGAGAGGUGCCUGUCAGAGAGACAAGAAACUAGGGUGACAGAUGAGGCAUGGACCAGAAAGGCAUUCAUGCAUCUCUAGCAGAUGCCAGCACUGGAGACUGAUGAUGGAGGACCAGAUGCCAACAUUUCCCCACUGCGAUGCUACUGCAGAUCCUAGAAAUUUGUCCUCCCAAAUGAUAUCACUUCUCAUAUAUGUUUAUUCUAAUUCACUUCACAAAAACGUGACUGUGCGUUAUGAUUACAUAUAGUCAAACAAUGGUACUUAGAAUUACACGAGGCUGUGAAAUGUCCACAACUACUCAUAUUAGUGGGUGUGGAUUCUAAAGAAAUAUGGAAUUUCCCUGAAUAAGAAAGGGCAAGAGGGCUUUAAAUUUAGUGUAGGCUGGAAAGGUUGCAGAAUAAUAAAGGCUUGUAUAAAUAAAGGAAAAUUCUGUUUAGAUACCUAGGACACAGCGAAUCUUUCAAAAUAUUUCACUAUAUUGUUCUUACCUAUUGCUGUUCUGGAUACAUGAAAUAAAAAUGACAGUUACUUAGGCUUGGAUUGACAUUGCUCUUAAUUUAAAAAGAAGUAUGUUCCAAAGUUUUAAAUUAUAACCUAAAUCUUCAUUACCUAUAUAGAAUGCAAUAAUAUUUUAAUAAGACAGUGCACUGACUCUAAAAUUUGGCCUUCCUAAACAUCCUGAAUAUAGUUAUUAAAACCUUUCAGGAGGGAUCCCUGGGUGGCGCAGUGGUUUGGCGCCUGCCUUUGGCACAGGGCGUGAUCCUGGAGACCCAGGUUCGAAUCCCAUAUCAGGCUCCCGUUGCAUGGAGCCUGCUUCUCCCUCUGCCUGUGUCUCUGCCCCUCUCUCUCUCUCUCUCUGUGACUAUCAUAAAUAAAUAAAAAUUAAAAAAUAAAUAAAUAAAACCUUUCAGGAGCACCUGGGUGGUUCAGUGGUUGAGUGUCUGCCUUUGGCUCAGGUCAUGAUCCCAGGGUCCUGGGAUCGAAUCCCACAUCACCCCACAGGCAGCCUGCUUCUCUCUCUGCCUAUGUCUUUGCCUCUCUCUGUGUGUUUCUCAUGAAUAAAUAAAUAAAAUAUUUUUAAAAAAUAAAAUAAAACCAUUCAAUGCAGCAUCUGUCAUAUUACUUCCCUUGUAAAAACAUCUCAUGGCUCUCUACUGAGCAUCACAAAAUACAGACUCCUGUUAUUGUUUUUUGAAUAGUUCUCACACCACUUUACUUAUUGAAACAUCUAUCACACUUCCAAAAUAUAAUUUCGUAAGAAAUAUCAUCUCACUAUUUCAGUAUUUUAUGUACAUCUGUUUUUGUCAACGGUUAUAUAAGAUAAGUAACUUGAUGGCAGUAAUAUCAAUUGACCUCUUUGUGUCACAUUUCCUUAACUGAAAAAGGAAUGUUAUGUCGGUAGAGCCAAGCUGCCUUCCAACCCUAAGCUUCUUUUAGUUCAAUUUUCUCCAUUCUGCACAGCGCAUUGAUCAAGAUUAAACCAAAAGCAAGCACUAAAAUAGAAACUGGCUUAUUGACGAUGUGUUUUAGCAUAACAGAUUAUGUGAACCAAAGUGGAUGCUUGCACUGGCAUAAGAAGUUACUACUCCAACCAUAAUUACUUCUGUAUGUGUAAGGCAAUUUUGCUAUUAUAACUCAAAAAUUGUUUAAAUCAUGAAGAAACUAAAUUAAGGUUUAGUUGUGUUUGUAUCACAUGACAUAAUGUGCAUCAGUUGUUAGUAAUUCCUAUGUCUUUAGAGCUCUUCUGUUCACUACAGCACCACAAAACACAUUUGAUAAAAGGGGAAAAAUAAACAUGAUCCAGAGUUCAGUGCUAUUUGUUGUCUCCAAAAUCUCUGUUUAUAAUGGACGAUCUGUUUAGAACUGAUGAUUCAAAGCUUACAAUAUAGCAUUACAUUUUCAGACUCCACCUUCCUGGCCGGACACAAUGGUAGUUUAGAAACAAUAACAACAACAAAACAACAACACAGUAAGCUAGUUUUUAAUAGAGAAAAACCUAGGAUCACUAUAGGAUAAUUGCCCUAUAAUUUUCUUCCUCUAUAAUUUACUAUCAGAAUGCUUUCAUUCUUACUGCCAAAUGUUUUGGAGGAGCGGUCUACUCCUUGACCACUUAUUCUAUAUUGACUCAACUCAACAAUUGCACCCUGGGUUCCCUCAAUCAUUUUACUGAAUCUUCUUCUUUUUUUUUUUUUUUUUUUAAGUCUCUAGGAAACUCGUCAUUGCCAAUAGUAGAAGGUCACCUCAGUUCUUAAGGGUUUUUUUUUUUACCUCUCUUUAGAAUUUUACCACUAUCACCCGCUUUUAAAACUCUUAGCUACCUACUUUCAUGGCCCUGUGUUUCCUUAGUUCUCCAUCUGUCUCUGAUGUUCUUUUGCCUCUUUCAUUGGUUCUCAUUUGCCCACUUCUUUUUAAGAUUGACUGAUUGACUGAUUGAUUGAUUUGAGAAAGAGAGAGUGAAUAUAAGAGACAGCAUGAGCAAGGAGGGGGGAUAGAGGGAGAAACAGACGCCCCACAGAGCAGGGAGCCCGUCGUGUUCCCACUUCCUAAAAUCAAGUGUUCCACAUGGUAUUCUCUCCACCUUCUCCUUUCCUGUCAUUAUCUCACAAGCACAUUGGUUUGUGUGGUUUCAACUUUUUCCUCAGUGCAGAUGACGAUCAAAUUUGCAUCACGAUCCUGAUGUUUCGAGAUCUCCAGAUUCCUAAAUGCUUUUAUACUUGGAUGUUCCUAUGGCAAGUCCACUUCAACAUAACAGUUACAAACUGUUCUUCCCAACUCUAGGCUUUCUCUUUUAUCCUCCAUCUGUAUUUUAAAAAUCAAAAUCCUUCCAGCUACUGACAUUCAAAUCCACGAGUCAUCUCUAAAUCUUUCCACAGCUCACUUCACACAUCCAGUUGACCAAAUCAUAUUUACCUUGGUCAAGACUUGCAUA